rnacentral:rRNA from 1 species
UAAGCCCAGCACUGAAUCCCGCCGUUGUAACGGCGGCGGGAGAUGUGGUGUUCGGGAGGUUCCGCUUUCUUGUCGUCGUCCACUCCUGUCCAAGUUCGUCUUGAACGGGGCCCAUUUCCCAUAGAGGGUGCCAGGCCCGUAGCGACGGAGGACGGCGGCGAGAGGGACUCUCCUCAGAGUCGGGUUGCUUGAGAGUGCAGCCCUAAGUGGGUGGUAAACUCCAUCUAAGGCUAAAUAUUACCGCGAGACCGAU